rnacentral:rRNA from 1 species
CUCGGCAACGGAUAUCUCGGCUCUCGCAUCGAUGAAGAACGUAGCGAAAUGCGAUACUUGGUGUGAAUUGCAGAAUCCCGUGAACCAUCGAGUCUUUGAACGCAAGUUGCGCCCGACGCCAUUCGGCUGAAGGCACGUCUGCCUGGGUGUCACGC